rnacentral:rRNA from 1 species
ACGGCGGUUGUUUUAAACAGUCCUAAGGUAGCAAAAUUCAUUGACAGGUAAAUUCCGUCCAGCAUGAGCGAGGAAACGACUUUCUCUCUGUCACUAGCAUUGUUUCUUAGAAAUUGAGUUAUUCUCUUACGAGAAAAGUAACGGCCAGACGAAAAGACCCUGAGCACCUUUCCU